rnacentral:lncRNA from 1 species
UUUUUAUUCCAACACCCUACCCUGCACCUUUCCAGGUCUAGUAAAUCUGUCAUCAGUAGGCUUAGAUAAGGACCCUGCAAUGCCUCUGGCAGAAGUGAGAUGUUUGUUUAAUGUAAAACCUCCCGGACCUGCUCCUGAGGAGACCAGAAGAAGUUCUUGAUGCGAGAACAAAAGAUAAAAGUUCAAUCUGGAAGGCAGAAAAGUGGGUUGUCAACCAUAUAGCUUGGACGAUUCGUCCUACAGCAGGCUCUAGGGUAUCAUCGUCUGGCUUUAUCUCGCUUUCUCAGCUUCUACUCAAGACUACUGUGCAUCUUAAGAAGUUAUCCCAUAGGAUCUACAUUCUUCCUCUGCAAAACAUGUGCUUUUGCUCCUACAUCAAAAUGAAUCACAGACCUGGGGCCCCUGAGAGUUUAUAG